rnacentral:rRNA from 1 species
CCCUUAGAUGUUCUGGGCCGCACGCGCGCUACACUGAUUCAUGCAACAAGUUUUGUCCUUGGCUGAUAGGCCUGGGUAAUCUUUGAACGUGAAUCGUGAUGGGGAUAGAUGAUUGCAAUUAUUCAUCUUCAACGAGGAAUUCCUAGUAAACGCAAGUCAUCAGCUUGCAUUGAUUACGUCCCUGCCCUUUGUACACACCGCCCGUCGCACCUACCGAUUGAAUGGUCCGGUGAAAUCUUCGGAUCUGAGAGAUGUCUGAUUAAUUUCGGACGCCUUUUGGAAAAGUUGUUUAAACCUUACCAUUUAGAGGAAGGUGANGUCGUAACA